AGCAGCAGUAGCAGUGAGUUAGCAGCAGUAGUAGUGAGGUAGCAGCAGUAGUAGAGAGGUAGUAGUGAGGUAGUAGUGAUGCAGUAGCAGUAUUAGUGAGGUAGUACGUAGUGAGGUAGCAGUAAUGAUGUAGCAGUAGUAGUGAGGUAGUAGUGAUGUAGUAGCAGUAGUGGUGAGGUAGUAGUGAGGUAGCCGUAGUAGUGAUAGUGCAGCAGCAGUAAUGACGUUGCAGCAGCAGUAGUGAGGUAGUAGUGAUGUAGUAGCAGUAGUAGUGAGGUUGUAGUAGCAGUCAUAGUAGUGAGGUUGUAGUAGUGAGGUAGUAGCAGU